UACGUAGGGUGCAAGCGUUGUCCGGAAUUAUUGGGCGUAAAGAGCUCGUAGGCGGUUUGUCACGUCUGCUGUGAAAACUGGAGGCUCAACCUCCAGCCUGCAGUGGGUACGGGCAGACUAGAGUGCGGUAGGGGGAGAUUGGAAUUCCUGGUGUAGCGGUGGAAUGCGCAGAUAUCAGGAGGAACACCAAUGGCGAAGGCAGCUCACUGGGACGGUAUUGACGCUGAGACGCGAAAGCGUGGGGAGCAAACAGG
rnacentral:rRNA from 1 species